rnacentral:rRNA from 1 species
AUCCCUCCGUAGGGGGAACCUGCGGAGGGAUCAUUGCUGGAACGCGCCUCGGCGCACCCAGAAACCCUUUGUGAACUUAUACCCUACUGUUGCCUCGGCGCAGGCCGGCCUCUUAGCUGAGGCCCCCCGGAGACGGGGAGCAGCCCGCCGGCGGCCAACCAAACUCUUGUUUCUACAGUGAAUCUCUGAGUAAAAAACAUAAAUGAAUCAAAACUUUCAACAACGGAUCUCUUGGUUCUGGCAUCGAUGAAGAACGCAGCGAAAUGCGAUAAGUAAUGUGAAUUGCAGAAUUCAGUGAAUCAUCGAAUCUUUGAACGCACAUUGCGCCCUCUGGUAUUCCGGAGGGCAUGCCUGUUCGAGCGUCAUUUCAACCCUCAAGCCUGGCUUGGUGUUGGGGCACUGCCUGUAAAAGGGCAGGCCCUGAAAUCUAGUGGCGAGCUCGCUAGGACCCCGAGCGUAGUAGUUAUAUCUCGUUCUGGAAGGCCCUGGCGGUGCCCUGCCGUUAAACCCCCAACUUCUGAAAUUUUGACCUCGGAUCACG